UCUUAGAUAGACAAACUGCAGCUCCUUUCUUGGGAGGGAACCUGCAAAAAAUAGACUUAUAAGCAUUUGGUGCUCUGGCUACAAAUGUUAUAGCUAAACAUGUCAGAAUGAGUAUCAGGAUGCGAAGACUGCAUCGCAGUUGUGGUUCCCAGAUUGGAUCAUGCCCCCGACCAGCGAACAGUCCUUUUUACAAACCUGAACCCUAUUAGACUGAGCACUGCUUACCAGAGACAAAAGUUGAGUUAUCAGAAUACAUGUACAUAAUAAAUUUAGAGUAUUUUAGUUGCAUUGGAGUUUCUUAAAUUUCACUUCUGGACAUGAUAUUUUGGACUAUUAGUUACUCAAAAUGCAUACUUCUGAUGCAUCUUUUCUUCUUCUGUUCAUAUUAAUUUGAUGUCCCAAUGCUAAACUAUGUGCAGGCAGACGAAGGAGGUCUGCCUCUGCCAGAGAAGUAACUUGCGCCUGCCACUCUCUACUCCUCCACCUCGCCUUUCCCUUCAUUAUGCUCCCUAUUUAUUUCUGGGUGCUCCUCCUAAACUUCGGAGAUGAAUUGCAGCCCGUGGCCUCUUCUACUGCACACCCAAGGGUGACAAGCUCCACUGACUAGCAUCUUAGAUGCCCCUCGGCCACAUCGCCAUGUGAGGUGAGCAAGCACUCCGUCCCCAUCUUAUUACUCUUCUUAGACAAAACUUCUAAAGCAUGGAUUAGAGCCUAAAGGGUUCACAAAUCUGUUGUAAAAAAAUAUUGUAGUAUUGCACCAUUCACACGCAAAGAACUGGUGAGGUAUCAGUAUAAGUUAUAGUACCGCCUUUUUUACAUGAAAUUUUUGUUUCGAACUUUGUAAGGAUUUAAGAGGAAAAAAAUUCAGCAGGACCAGUUUACAUAUUUCAAAUGAUGGUCUACCUUACCAUUCCGAUAGAAAUUAAACUCAUUUCGAAUUGCUAAGAUAAUAAAUUCUAUUUUUGGGAUCGACUGCUAGCUGGCUGAUUUACUGAAGAAAAAUUUACUGGAAGUGGCACAUUUUUCCUCGCUGUUAUAACUCAUGUCAUGUUUUAUAUUGUUCACUAAGCUUCAACCGAAUAGAUCUAGAAGGGGAGCUGGCCAUGGAAUUCGGAAGGACAAAGACUCAAGAACAGGUAGAUAAUGGUACUCCAAUACGAUUUGUUGUAGCUCCAUACAAGAAAGCUUUAAAAAAGAUCCUGUUACAGUUCAUCUAAAUUCUGUUACUUCAACGGAUGGUCAAAUGCAGAUUUAAAUGUGUUAUUUGUGUUCUGUUUGCCUCUCUGAUGAAAGAAUAGUUCAUUAAUUAUGCAUACAAUGUUUGUGUUCAGCUAUCUACUUAUCUUACAUAUAGUUCAGCAGGGUGUGCCCACAUACCCUGUCAAAUAUUCUUCAACCGCACAUAAGUUACAUGGUACAAGAAUAAGAAGUAAUUUUCUUAAUGAAGUUAUUGAGAUGAAGCUUCAUAUAAAAAAAGUGACCCAACUCAUUGCCCUUUGCAAAGUAUGUUACUUUGCCUCUGCAUGCUUGGUCAAUUUGGUAGAACAGUUAUGUUCACCAAUGGGAUUAUUGGUCUGCCUACUUCAUGCUAUAUAUCUGCAACUUUUUUGGUUUUCAAAAGGAAAAUUACAUAUGCUUUUCAUGUGCAUAGUUAAUCGGUAAGAUCUAAGAUGGACCUGCUCUGAUUAUGUAGUUCAGGGACUAAAGCUCUACUAACUACAAGCUCUGUUUAUGUAGUUCAGGGACUAAAGCUUUGCUAACUACAAGUUGUAGAUUUUGUUGCAGCUGAAGCUAUGUAUCAGUGCAUAAAGUGUGCUCAGUUAUGUUUUUUCCCUGCAGUUGUUAUUAAUUCUUAAAAAAGGCUGUUUAUUUGAGCAGGGUAGAUGCCAACAUUUCUAUCUCAAUAUGUCUCUGUCUAUCUCAAUAUGUUUGUCUGCUUUUCGAUCAAGGUGAACGAAGAUGGAAUGGGUAAUACACCACACACGCACACUGAACUGAUAUUAUUGUAUCAUUGUUGCCAUGUAUAAUUAGUGUCUGCCAGUUUACCAGUAAUAGAGAAUGAUUUGUGUUUGUUACAGUGAGGUCUUCCAACUUAAGCAAAAAAGGAUGUACAAUAACAUCGACUAUUGCUUCAUAUUCUGAAGUGAUGUGCAUAUCCUACAAAGAUUUGUACGCCUAUUAGCACUGUUCAUUUUGCAAGUAGUUCCUCAUCUAAGCUGCAAGUUCAUUUACGAACCAUCUUCCUUCCAGAUUGAGCACGAUGAUGCUUUGUUUUUUGAAUCAUAUACUAAUAUGUAUGAAAUCAGAGGAUCAAACUCCUGGCAUUGGAACUCGAGUUGCUUCUAAUUGUGUACCAAGAUAUACUGAUGAGCUCCACAUAAAGUACUGGCAUUGAGCGAACUUCAGUGCUGACAUUUUCGAGUUCCAAGGAUCAAAUUGCAGUUGUCAUUGGCAUUUGAACAUCAUUUUAGAGUUGCUCCUAAUCAAGUAUUGAGAUAUACUAAUGAAAUCCACAUGAAGUAUUGACACUGAGCAAACCUGAAGAUUUAGAAGGCCAUAGUUUCCUCUGUACCGCUGUAUUGUUAUUUCUUCGAUUGUUCAUUAUGUACAAAUUUACUGCCUUACUCUAUUUAAUAAUGUCAGAAUGACGAACUUGUGGAGUCAGAGCAAAUGGCAGCCGGUUAUGUAAGCGAAGAGUUGUGGUCUUGGUCUUACAACAUCUCAGAGAAGUUGAUCUAAAGCCUAGAACCAGUAUGAAGAUUGUUGAUAAAGAAGUAUGAGGCAUCUUAGGAAUUCACAACAAGGGAUUACCGAAGUGUUGAAACCAUAAAUGACAGGUGUGGACCUUAGAUGACAUGAGUAUGUAAUAUGUUGUCGUUUCAAAACCAGAAGUUAUGAGAUGAGUAGUAUACAGAAUACUAAACCAGAGGUUUCUUGA